AGUGACAACACCCACACCAGCCAGCAAGCACGCUGGAUCUGGAUUUCCUUUUAAAUAUUCUUUACACGAGGAUCAAAUUAUCACACAAUCCCAGCAACUGGCAGACUGAAAGUUCAGGGUGAAAUAUUUCAUCUGUCUGAAACGAAAACGGCUUGGUAUCAACUAUUCUCCAGGUUUUAAUGAUACAAUACAUACCAGCCAGUUUUUCUUGGAAAGUAACAGCCAGGCUUCUGCUGAUGCACGCGAAUGCACCUCAGUAACAUGGGAAGCGCCAUCCAUGUUUGCUCGGCGAAUGCCAGCUUUAUAAGGACCCACCCCAAAGGGGGAUUGCUUAGAGGGGUAAGUGAUCAGGAUAAAUCACAUCCCUGAGCUCCAGGAGCUAAGAGGUGAUGUGACACACAUACCUGUUUCAAUAUAUAGCGGAAUGUCUAAUGCAAAAAAAGCCUGCCUUUGAGAGAGCAUAAUAAGAGUUUGGAGGAAAGGGAGAGCUUAUUUCUGCCUUGAAGAAAAUUAAAUAUGAAGUUUCAUAGAGAUCUGAACCAGCAUGCGGAGGACAUGAACACGCAGAAACGAGGGAUGGGAGGAGGAAUGGGGUUCUCGGCUGAGGGAACAGAGUAGGUAGAGGCACAGAGGAGGUGACAGCAAGGUGAGUCUGAACUCUGUGUGGUUACUCCGGGGGGGCAGGGUUGGACAGCCACGGGCCAUCCCUUCCCAGCACUCAGGGAGAGCAGACAGCACUGUGCAGGGAAGGUGGUGAUGCAGAUUUUCAAGGGCACCCAGAUCAAAUGCCGUAGAGAGGUUGGACUGGGGUGGACAUCUGCUGUCCCAGUGUCUCUUGUCCUUAUCCAACAGUCCCUGCAGUGUCUUUGGUGGGAAAUCCUCCACCGGCGUUUUCAGAGCAUUUGCCUUGAUGCAACUGUUGGGCCCUCUGGCUCUGAGACUGAGCUUCUCCACCGAGUUGACUGCCCAGUCACAGCAGGAAACCCCCAUAGCCUCGCCCGUGUGUUCAGGGGCGGGUGCCUGUCUCAGGCAGACGACUUGUGCCCAACGAGAGCGGACCCGAAGACUUCUGUAAGAUCGGCUGCCCAGGAGUGUGUUCCUUCCUCCUGGACUUGAAUUCGGAAGGGUGCAAACCAGAGGCCCUGGCAGCUGUCUAGACAACCCAGGGACUCCACCCUUCAGUGAGCCGAGCCCACACGGAGAACAGGUGGAGAGAUGGAAAGAGAUGGGGUUCUUCUGACCUCGUUAGAGCUCUCGAAACAACCGUGCCUGAAGUCCCCUCCCCUAGGUUUUCUCCUGUUUGCUGAAGCUGGUUUACUUGAGAUCUUUUGUCGUUUGCAGCUGACAGCCCAGGAUGACGCCUUUGAGUUUGGAAACCAGGCGGGCACAUGUGACCUCAAGAUGGCAUUUUCAAUAGUGAAAUGCAAGGUAUUAUGAUUGCCAAGUUUCUUCAAGUUUCAGGUUGCACAAGUCACAGAAUGAUUAAACAUUAGACAGCACCAAUAAUUGCAAGUUCCAUAGAUCUGGCUCUCAAGCCAAG